GCCUCCAUAGCUCAGUUGGUUAGAGCGACGGACUGUUAAUCCGCAGGUCCCUGGUUCGAGCCCAGGUGGGGGCGCAA
rnacentral:tRNA from 1 species